rnacentral:rRNA from 1 species
AGGUAACCUACCCUCAGGACUGAGAUAACCCCGGGAAACUGGGGCUAAUAUCAGAUAGAUAAAAGAUACUGGAAUGUUCUUUUAUCCAAAGCUUUUGUGCCUGAGGAUGGGCCUGCGCCCGAUUAGGUUGUUGGUGGGGUAAUGGCCCACCAAGCCUACGAUCGGUACGGGCAGUGGGAGCUGUAGCCCGGAGUUGGGGACUGAGACAAGGCCCCAGGCCCUACGGGGCGCAGCAGGCGCGAAACCUCUGCAAUGCGGGAAACCGUGACAGGGGGAUUCCAAGUGCUCAUGCAUUGCAUGGGCUGUUCUUUGGUCUAAGUAACCAGAGGAGUAAGGGCUGGGCAAGACCGGUGCCAGCCGCCGCGGUAAUACCGGCAGCUCGAGUGGUAGCCGCGAUUAUUGGGCCUAAAACGUUCGUAGCCGGAUAAGUAAGUCUUUGGUUAAAUCCUGCGACUUAACCGUGGGAAAUCUAGAGAUACUGCUUGUCUUGAGACCGGGAGAGGUUGGAGGUACUCCCAGGGUAGGGGUGAAAUCCUGUAAUCCUGGGGGGACCACCUGUGGCGAAGGCGUCCAACUGGAACGGGUCUGACGGUGAGGGACGAAACCUAGGGGAGCGAGCCGGAUUAGAUACCCGGGUAGUCCUAGGCGUAAAUGAUGCGAGUUAAGUGUGGGGGCAUCUACGAGAUGGCCCUGUGCUGUAGGGUAGCCGUUAAACUCGCUGCCUGGGGAGUACGGUCGCAAGGCUGAAACUUAA